UACGUAGGGGGCAAGCGUUGUCCGGAUUUAUUGGGCGUAAAGAGCGUGUAGGCGGCUAGAUAGGUCCGUUGUGAAAACUCGAGCUCAACCUCGAGACGCCGGUGGAAACCAUCUAGCUAGAGUCCGGAAGAGGAGAGUGGAAUUCCUGGUGUAGCGGUGAAAUGACGCAGAUAUCAGGAAGAACACCCGUGGCGAAGGCGGCUCUCUGGUACGUGACUGACGCUGAGACGCGAAAGCGUGGGGAGCGAACAGG
rnacentral:rRNA from 1 species